rnacentral:rRNA from 1 species
CCGCCGUUGGGGGGAGGCCUACACAUGCAAGUCGAGCGGUAACAGGAAGAAGCUUGCUUCUUUGCUGACGAGCGGCGGACGGGUGAGUAAUACUUGGGAACUUGCCUUUAGGAGGGGGAUAACCGCUGGAAACGGUGGCUAAUACCGCAUAAUGUCUACGGACCAAAGCAGGGGCUCUUCGGACCUUGCACCUAAAGAUAGGCCCAAGCGAGAUUAGCUAGUUGGUGGGGUAAAGGCCCACCAAGGCGACGAUCUCUAGCUGUUCUGAGAGGAUGAUCAGCCACACUGGGACUGAGACACGGCCCAGACUCCUACGGGAGGCAGCAGUGGGGAAUAUUGCACAAUGGGGGAAACCCUGAUGCAGCCAUGCCGCGUGUGUGAAGAAGGCCUUCGGGUUGUAAAGCACUUUCAGUGGUGAGGAAGGCCGUAAGAUUAAUACUCUUGCGGAUUGACGUUAACCACAGAAGAAGCACCGGCUAACUCCGUGCCAGCAGCCGCGGUAAU